rnacentral:tRNA from 1 species
GCCUUCGUGGUGUAAUGGUUAGCACACUUGACGCGUAUUCGACAGAUCCAGGUUCGAGUCCCGGCGAGGGUA